UACGUAGGGGGCAAGCGUUGCCCGGAUUUAUUGGGCGUAAAGAGCGUGUAGGCGGCCAUACAGGUCAGCUGUGAAAACUCGAGGCUCAACCUCGAGACGUCGGUUGAAACCGUAUGGCUAGAGUCCGGAAGAGGAGAGUGGAAUUCCCGGUGUAGCGGUGAAAUGCGCAGAUAUCGGGAAGAACACCUAUGGCGAAGGCAGCUCUCUGGGACGGUACUGACGCUGAGACGCGAAAGCGUGGGGAGCGAACAGG
rnacentral:rRNA from 1 species